GACGAACGCUGGCGGCGUGCUUAACACAUGCAAGUCGAACGGAAAGGCCCUGCUUGCAGGGUACUCGAGUGGCGAACGGGUGAGUAACACGUGGGUGAUCUGCCCUGCACUUCGGGAUAAGCCUGGGAAACUGGGUCUAAUACCGGAUAGGAGCCAUUUUUAGUGUGAUGGUUGGAAAGUUUUUUCGGUGUAGGACGAGCUCGCGGCCUAUCAGCUUGUUGGUGGGGUAAUGGCCUACCAAGGCGGCGACGGGUAGCCGGCCUGAGAGGGUGGACGGCCACAUUGGGACUGAGAUACGGCCCAGACUCCUACGGGAGGCAGCAGUGGGGAAUAUUGCACAAUGGGCGCAAGCCUGAUGCAGCGACGCCGCGUGGGGGAUGACGGCCUUCGGGUUGUAAACUCCUUUCGCUAGGGACGAAGCUUUUUGUGACGGUACCUAGAUAAGAAGCACCGGCUAACUACGUG
rnacentral:rRNA from 1 species